AGAUUAAGUUAUUAAGGGCGCACGGUGGAUGCCUUGGCACUAGAAGCCGAUGAAGGACGUUACUAACGACGAUAUGCUUUGGGGAGCUGUAAGUAAGCUUUGAUCCAGAGAUUUCCGAAUGGGGAAACCCAGCAUGAGUUAUGUCAUGUUAUCGAUAUGUGAAUACAUAGCAUAUCAGAAGGCACACCCGGAGAACUGAAACAUCUUAGUACCCGGAGGAAGAGAAAGAAAAUUCGAUUCCCUUAGUAGCGGCGAGCGAAACGGGAAGAGCCCAAACCAACAAGCUUGCUUGUUGGGGUUGUAGGACACUCUAUACGGAGUUACAAAGGACGACAUUAGACGAAUCAUCUGGAAAGAUGAAUCAAAGAAGGUAAUAAUCCUGUAGUCGAAAAUGUUGUCUCUCUUGAGUGGAUCCUGAGUACGACGGAGCACGUGAAAUUCCGUCGGAAUCUGGGAGGACCAUCUCCUAAGGCUAAAUACUCUCUAGUGACCGAUAGUGAACCAGUACCGUGAGGGAAAGGUGAAAAGCACCCCGGAAGGGGAGUGAAAUAGAACCUGAAACCGUGUGCUUACAAGUAGUCAGAGCCCGUUAAUGGGUGAUGGCGUGCCUUUUGUAGAAUGAACCGGCGAGUUACGAUUUGAUGCAAGGUUAAGCAGUAAAUGUGGAGCCGUAGCGAAAGCGAGUCUGAAUAGGGCGUUUAGUAUUUGGUCGUAGACCCGAAACCAGGUGAUCUACCCUUGGUCAGGUUGAAGUUCAGGUAACACUGAAUGGAGGACCGAACCGACUUACGUUGAAAAGUGAGCGGAUGAACUGAGGGUAGCGGAGAAAUUCCAAUCGAACCUGGAGAUAGCUGGUUCUCUCCGAAAUAGCUUUAGGGCUAGCCUCAAGUGAUGAUUAUUGGAGGUAGAGCACUGUUUGGACGAGGGGCCCCUCUCGGGUUACCGAAUUCAGGCAAACUCCGAAUGCCAAUUAAUUUAACUUGGGAGUCAGAACAUGGGUGAUAAGGUCCGUGUUCGAAAGGGAAACAGCCCAGACCACCAGCUAAGGUCCCAAAAUAUAUGUUAAGUGGAAAAGGAUGUGGCGUUGCCCA
rnacentral:rRNA from 1 species